rnacentral:rRNA from 1 species
GGGGAGUUGUCGCUGGCCUUUUACCAGGCAUGUGCACGCUCUCCUCSGAACCUAAGCCUUAUGGGCGCGGGGCGACCCGCGUCUUCAUAUACCUCUUCGUGUAGAAAGUCUUUGAAUGUUUAUACUAUCAUCGAGUCGCGACUUCUAGGAGACGCGGUUCUUUGAGACAAAAGUUAUUACAACUUUCAGCAAUGGAUCUCUUGGCUCUCGCAUCGAUGAAGAACGCAGCGAAUCGCGAUAUGUAAUGUGAAAUUGCAGAUCUACAGUGAAUCAUCGAAAUCUUUGAACGCACCUUGCGCUCCUCGGUGUUCCGAGGAGCAUGCCUGUUUGAGCGUCAGUAAAUUCUCAACCCCUCUCGAUUUGCUUCGAUAGGGUGCUUGGAUACUGGGGGCUGCCGGAGACCUGGACUCUCGUCUAGGACUCGGGCUCUCCUGAAAUGAAUCGGCUUGCGGUCGACUUUCGACUUUGCAUGACAAGGCUUUUGGCGUGAUAAUGAUCGCCGUUCGCUGAAGUGCAUGAAUGAAUGGUCCCGUGCCUCCUAAUG